UACGGAAGGGGCAAGCGUUACUCGGAAUUAUUGGGCGUAAAGGGCGCGUAGGCGGCUUGGCAAGUGGAUGGUGAAAUCCCUCGGCUUAACCGAGGAACUGCCAUCCAGACUGCUUUGCUUGAGGCCGGGAGAGGUGAGUGGAAUUCCCAGUGUAGCGGUGAAAUGCGUAGAUAUCAGGAGGAACACCUGUGGUGUAGACGGCUUUCUGGACCAUAACUGACGCUGAGACACGAAAGCGUGGGUAGCAAACAGG
rnacentral:rRNA from 1 species